UACGUAGGUGGCAAGCGUUGUCCGGAUUUAUUGGGUUUAAAGGGUGCGUAGGCGGUUCCAUAAGUCAGUGGUGAAAUACGGCAGCUCAACUGUCGAGGUGGCAUUGAUACUGCGGGACUUGAGUACAGACGAGGUAGGCGGAAUUGACGGUGUAGCGGUGAAAUGCUUAGAUAUCGUCAAGAACACCGAUAGCGAAGGCAUCUUACUAGACUGAAACUGACGCUGAGGCACGAAAGUGUGUGGAUCAAACAGG
rnacentral:rRNA from 1 species